GGCGGGAGCGGGCUCCUCCGGACAGGCGGCGCCGGGGCACACCGGGGAUCCUCUGCUUCGGGCGGGCUACGGGCCGACGGCUCCUCAGCGCUUCUCGCCCGCGGCACCGGGCCCGCAGCCGGAGCCCCGUCCCCCGGCAAGACUGCGCGCUUACCAAAAGCCCGUGCUCCUCCAAAAGUGCCGCAGGGGCCGCUCGGCUCGCCGGACAUCCACGUACACCACAUACGCCGCGGAGCCCGCUCCGAGCUGCACCAUCAGCCAGAGCAGCAGCCCCAUGGCGGCGCGGGGAGCGAAGCCGGGCCGCGGCUCCGUGCCGCCAACCGGCGCCCGCCACAAACGCAGCCCGGACGCGACGACGAGAGCCCGCCCACCGCGGGAUUGCCGCGGCUCCCCUCCCCGACGGCGUCCGCCGCCUGCGGCGCUGUGAGGUGGUGGGAGCGGGGCGGCGGCCUGCAGGCUUCAGAAAGAGGGGAGUUCCGUUCCGAAGUGGCCAAAAAGCCGAAGUUGGUUUUUAAAGACAAGAUGCUGAAAGAAAGUUCCGUCCGUUUAUCCAGGAAGCCCUGUCCUUUCAGGAACAGUGUCAGGCGUGCUGUAGGAAGUGCUGAAACACCGCCGUGCCAUGGAUGCAGGCAGCAGCGUGAAGCCUAAGAUGGAACAGAGGGCUGAAGACGUUGUGAGGGAGCUUGCCCUGCAGGGUGAAUGCUCUAGAGGGCUCUAUUGGCAUUUUAUAGAAGCAUCUGUCAGAGCUCAGGGAAAGACUCUUCUCCAGGAGCCUGCCUUUUGUUUUGGACAGUUUUCCCCAAGGUGUACUCCUUGCCACAUCAGCCACAUCAACCCAAAGCUGGGAGUCAGAAGGGAGGACAAAAACCCUUGCCAGAAGAGAGACGGACAGGGAACUUGAGGUGUCUCUGCAUCAGUCCCAGGUUUCACUUCCUGUAUCUGAGAAAGCAACAAGAUUUUUCAAUGUUCAUUUUCUGAAGAGCAGAAAAUCUUUCCUGCUCAACACAGCCACCCUUGUGCCUCCUGCCGUGGCAAGAAACCAAAGCAAAAGGAGUUCCCUGUGGUGGAACAUCAUAUUCCUCUGUUCCCAAAAUAUCUACAGGGAGAGCAGAAGAGGCCAAAUGAUUUGCUGUUUAUAAACCAAGGUAGCCAACUGGAUCAACAUAUCCAUGGAUGCAUUUGCAGGCCAAAUGCCAGGUUGCAGUAAUACCCAGUGGCCUACUUUGCAGCACUAGCACUAGCACAUCUUCUCCCAAGAGCAGAGCAAAUGCCAGGGUUACAGGAGGCAACUUCCAGCAAACAUUUUCCCAAGCGUAAAAGUUUAAUUCAGAACUGAACACAUAUGCCCACCUGGGAGAUUUUGCAUCGCUAGCACUCUAAGACAAAGGGCAGUGGAGAUGAUGUCUUGAAACAGCCUUCUUCUUUCUCCUUGCACAGACCAGGAGCUCUUCUUGUCCAGAGGCAUUCCUGAGGAAGCACACAGGUAUAAGAAAUGGUGGGAGAGUGGAAAGGAAGUAGCAGGGAAUCAACUCAUUUCAACAAGUAUAGGCUGACCAUUCCCCACCUAAGUGACAGCUGCCUGCCCAGCAUAAGUUCAUCCAGUGCCUCAAACUGGGCAGAUGAGAAAUGUCACAGCAUGAUACUUCAGAGCUGAGUCAUUUCUUGUCAUGUAAACUGUUUGAUCCCCAUUGCUUUCCUUGCAGCAGUGUCCUUUGGGAGGACAGACACAUCAGUCUCCUUCACAGGAAGCAGUUAACUCCUCCAACUGCAUUAGCUUUGUCUGUCAGAAGGCAUAUGGGCACCAUGAAGGAAAGCAGUGCACUGUGAUUUGCUUUAGGGGUUGUUCAGUUUAAAUACCUCCUCAUGAUUGCAUACAACUUCUUAUGUAACAAAGAUGUCUGUCGAUCAGAAAUAUAUAUAUCCCAACUGGAAUCUUAUCAGCACCAACAGCAUGGAUCUUAGUGCUCCUUUUCUCACAGAUGGCUUGUUCUUAAAUCUCAGUUUAUGGCACUACUGCAACUUUCCCCCAAUCCCUGGUGAGCUUUGUCAGCCCUGAGAUAUCCCUUCACCUCAUUCGUUCAUCAGCAGACUGUGGAAUGAGUACUUGAACUGCAGCUGUCUAUUGCCUUUCCUUCAAUAGAGCAGUCUCAUGGUUUUUUUCAAAACCUGUGCUGAUUGCAGAAAGACAUACUGUCUGCUUCAUGGUGCUGAUCCGCUUGGCUGGUUCUUGCUUUUCUCCUGAACACCAGUGAUCAGUCCCAGCUAGAAAUGGAAUGCAAUUGAGAGGCACUGAAAAGCUUGGAGAUACCUGAAAGAUUAUCUGGUCACCUCUUUGAGAUUAGCAAGGGUUUGAUCAGUUGAUUAGGAGAGGACAUGGUGUUUUAGCCCCCUCUGUAAGCUGGGAUAUAACAUUUCAUCUCCAAGGUUUCAGCAUCUACUUCUUUCCUGGUGCCAGAAUAUCUUUUUGUUUGUUUAUUUUUUCACCAGCUUUGACUUUUGGUCUAAAGAUACACUUCUGACAAGUUUUGGCUUUCACCCAAGUGGUUGUAGUCCAGGGUUGCUCAAUAAUUGCUUUUGCCCAAAGACAUGAACCUUAUCAUACAGAUGUUGCUGCCUCCUAACCCACCUUGGUUCAGUGUGACCCAGGGAGUUGCUUUGCUGCAGUUUAGCACUGCACAUCUAUUUUUGUUUUCAGGUGUAACCAGGUACAUAUGAUUCUGUAAAAGGCUUUAUAAUUCUAUAUAAGGUUUUACAUUAACCUGACAGUACACUGUUUCAGGGCUUGUACUGGCCCAAGCUUGUUUUAACUUUGGUAACUACUGUUCAGUGAUCAGGUCACUAUUGUCUGAAGUUUUUCACCUUAGUUAUUGGAAUACCAUUCAGUGUAAAAUGUGUCAGGGCGUGGCAAGGGCCAGCUGCUCCCUUCAGCAAGGGAGUGCUCUUGAAUCACCACCUCUUGAAUCAAGGAGUAAGGCAAACGCUGAAUUAGUAGGGAUAAGAUUGACCCACAGACCCAGCUAUCAAGCAAAUUCAUGGUGACAGAGCAGUUUUGAGGUCAAGAUGAGAAAUCAGUCCACAGAUCAAGGCCAACAAGGUCCACGGCUAGAUGCUGGCAUAGCUUGGUUGAGACCAGCACUUCUACAAACUAGCUGGGAUGUGGAUUGAAGGACCUAAGUUCCUGACCCUGAAAUGGUUCUCCUGACCCAUGGUUUUGCACUUUAACACAGAAGGCAGCUGGCAGCACACAGCUACUCCCACAGUCCAUUCCAGCGGGAUAGGGAAGGGAGAAUUGGAAAGGUGAAAAUGCAGGAACUUGUGGGUUAAGGACAGAUUAAUACAUUGAGUAAAAGUUGUGCAUGCAAGCAAAGUGAAAAACAGAAUCCAUUCCCUUCUUUCCAUCACCAGGCAAGUGUUCAACCAUUUCAAGGAAAGCAGAGCUCCAUCACAUGUAAUGCUUAACUGGGAGGACAAGCACCAUAACUCUGAAUGUCUCUCCCUCUAGUUUGCCCAUGUAUGGCACUGACAUUGAGAAACAGCCUGCUUUUCUUGACAGGUAGAUUGCACUUUGGCAUCUCUUUGGCUGGUGGAAUAACUAGUAAAUUCAGUUACUGGGAAGUUAUGUAGAUGAAUACUCCUUCUUUUCCUUUAGCCUGUGUUUCCUGGGGUCCCUGGAGGUCUUUUUUAUUCAUGAAUAAUGGGGCUAAUCCUCCUACUGCGCAAGGACCUCCAGUAGUAUUUUCUAAAGCAUAAGUGUAGGCCAAUUUUCCACCAUGUUAAAACCAUCCUAAGGGCAACUUGAGGUAGGCUUCAGCAUAACUUACCUCCUGGGUCUAAUUACAGUUUAAUAGGGCUGUAAUUUUGUUAAAAUCCUACGGGCUGAGGUACAAUUCAUGAAUUCAACACAGUCCUUGACACAGAAGGGUGCCUUGGACCUUUACAUUCAGCAUCCCUCAUCCUCAGGGAGAGGGAGAUGAUUGUCUCCCUCUACUCAGCUCUUGUGAGGCCCCAUCUGCAGUACUGCAUCCAGGCCUGGGGCCCCCAGUACAGGAAGGACAUGGAGCUCUUGGAGCGGGUCCAGAGUAGGGCCACUAACAUGGUCAGAGGGCUGGAGCACCUCUCCUGUGAGAAAAGGUUGAGGGAACCGGGCUUGUUUAGCUUGGAAAAGAGAAGGCUCUGGGGAGACCUCAUUGUGGCCUUCCAGUACUUGAAGGGAACAUAUAGACAGGAGAGGGAAUGGCUGAUUACGAGGGUGAAUAGUGAUAGGACAAGGGGGAAUGGUCUUAAACUGAGACAGGCGCAGUUUCAGUUGGAUAUUAGGAUGAAGUUUUUCACACAGAGGGUGUUGACGCUCUGGAACAUGUUGCCCAAGGAGGUUGUGGAUGCCCCAUCCCUGGAUGCAUUCAAGGCCAGGGUAGAUGUGGUUCUGGGCAGCCUGGUCUAGGGGUUGGCGACCCCACACAUAUCAGGGGGGUUGAAACCCAUUGUGGUCCUUUUCAACCCAGGCCAUUCUAUGAUUCUAUGAUCCUCUUCAUUAUACCUGUAGUUGCACAGUCCAUAUCACAGAUGUUCCCAUAGGUUGCAUUUGUCUCUAUGCUUUUUAAUAUUGUGUACUUUUGCUAAACUUUUACAGGGGUGGGGAACCUUACUAGGCAGGAACUGUACAUUUCUGCCUCUAAUUUUCCCGAGUCAAGAUAAAAGAAACAAUCACUUCCUUGGCUAACGUUUCCCACAAAUUCUGGCUCCUGCAGCAGUAAAACCUGUGAACCACUUAUCAUAGUAGACCAAUUUAUCACCACCAGAGUCCCCACAAUCCAGAACCUUAUGAUUCCUGACUUAACUUAAAGCACAAAGGUCCCUCUUGUUUAACACUCCAUCCUAGUGAUGGAACUGGCUUGAUCCUUCUGUGAUAUAUCCACAAAGUGACUCUUUCAAUCCUGACUGUCAUGUAGGUGAUGAGUAGAAUCUGGAGAGGUGCAGUCCCUGGGUUGGUAUUGAUGCACAGGAGCAUCUAAGCACAGCAGCGCGCUAUGAUGUAUGUGCAGGGAGAAAGCAAAAACUUCCCUAAAGAAAUGACAUAUUCCAUUAAAUAGCAUUUUCCUACAAUUUCAGGAUCAACUCUGGUUUCUGUUAUCUAAUAAGGUUACAUAUAUUAUUUUAAAAGGACUGACAUUUUCUUUAGUUCUUGGCUGGAUGCAUAUCCAUAGCAAGGCUAAGGGUAAGGUAUCCAGUCAUCUUAUCUGAGCCUCUUGACAAACUUUACUCAUUUGUCUUUUUAAGCUUUGAUUCAUCCUUCCUACUUUCUCAGCUGAUUGUAGUCUCCAUAGAGUAUGGAGAUCACAAUUUGUCCCUAUUUCUUUAGCUAGGUUUUGAACUGCUGCUGCUAUAAAGUGUGAACUCCUAUCUGAAGAUAGUCCUAUAGGUACCCCUCGGUAUUAUUACCUUAAGUAAUGCUUCUGCUACUUCUGUGGCCUUCUUGGUGCAACAAGGGAAAGAUUCUGGCCAGCCUGAAAAAGCUUCUGUCAUUACUAAAAGAUACAAAUACCCAUUUUGCUGUGUUAACUCAGUAAAGUCUAUUUGCCGAUAAUGGGAUGUUUUUGUUACCCCCUGUGAAGGUCUUCAGAGUAAAUGAGGAUUGUUCUUUAAACACAAUUCACAUUUAUUUACUACACUUUUGGCUAUCUCAGUCAUUCAUGCACUUAACUCUUGUACAUUCAGCACUCCUGUCAUUGCUUUGCUUACCCAGUGAGUUUCCUGAUGUGUUUAUCAGCCAAUUCAUGCAUAAUUUCCUGUGUGACUAUUUACUUGGUGUGAAGAGGUCAUCCACCAUCUUUCUUGAUGUUUUUGGGUGGUUUUUUUUUUUUUUUGCCUUCAGUAGAUUAGCAAAGUGGUCCUCUUCUGAUGUGUAUGGUGAGCCUUUCUGUUUCAAUCUUUGGAUUUUCUCCAGUAGGACCAACAAUAUUUGACUCUUCACAGCUUCCUUCACAGCCUUAUCCACCAUCUGUUUUCCUGUAUUUACUGGAUUGUUUCCAUUCUGAUGUGCAUUAGUGCAUGACUGCCACUGCUUCAAGCAGAUCGAUAGCUUGUAAAAGUUGUUGACCCAUAUUUGACUGGGGAUUCUUGAGAUGUUAAAAGUCCCUUUUGUCUACAAAUGUGCCCAUGAGCAUGGAAUACCCCAGAGUCAAACUCUGAAUCUGUCCAUGUAUAAACAGUUCUGUCUUUUGACAGUUCUAGCACUCUCAGUAAGGCUAUGAGCUUUGCUUUCUGCACCAAAGUGUUAGACAACAGAGCUUUGGCCUCAGUCAUUUCCUUAACUGUUACCACUGCAUUUCCCACUUUCCACUUUCCAUCCUGCACGAAGUUGCUACUAUCUACAAACAGGUCCCAGUCUGCAUUUUCCAUUGGCAUCUCUUUCAAAUCUGCUCUGCUGGAGUACGUCUGGUGGAAAAUGCUGUCGGUGCUAAAUAUCUGUGCAUUGAGAGCAUUGAUGCCUCUGAGGAUGCAGUGUUCUUUCUUUUCCAUGUUAUGUACUUGUUUCUCAGGUGUGUUCUGGUGCUGGGUUUGAUGCUAGCAUGCGCUCCCUUUGUACUUAACUCAGGAGGCAAAUAAAUCUGACAGAUUUUAUUGCUGGUUGUAAAGUUGUGGGUUUACUCCACUGCUUCUGAGGGAACACUCACUCUGUAUCCAAGUUUCAAAGUUUAUCUGGGAACUAAUAAAUACAAAGCAGAAUUUAUUAAAAAAUCAUACAAAAAUAUUCCUUAGCUGAGAUUAGACAACCAUCGUACAAGCAUUGCUAUCUUCCCCUUUGUAAAGAAAUCAGGGUGCCUGGGACUCAGUGUGAUACCCACUUUCUGCGUAGGGAGAACUUAUCUCUCCCCAAUUGUCGUAAAGACAACUGUAGGCUAAGCUUAAGGUUGAAGAGAAGGAGCAGAUUAUAGGAAUUAAAUGCGUUACCAGUCUUAACUUUGUUUUCAGAACGUUGCUGCUACUGUAACUGAACUAUCAGUAGCUAUCUGCUGUCAUUUUAAUUAGAAUGUGGAAAUGUGAAGACAUUAAUUGACUGACAAUAAAGUAUGAGUUCUGCAUAUAGUCUGUGUUCCCUUUUGCCCAUAACAAGAUUUUGUUUAUAUUGUAAAUGGACACCAGACACCAGAAAGGAUGUCUUUGAUUUUACACAACAGUCAUCUUCCAUACCUCUAUUAUGCCUGUGGUCUUGUAUAGAGAAUACAAUUUCUGGUAGAACAUGUCUGUGCUUAGGACAUACAGAGGGUAGGGAGAUGAUUUUCACAGUGCUCUCUGCUAAGUGCAUGUAAGAGAAGCUGAAACACUGGAAGAGUAUUUAGCACUCUUCUUUGUCUCUGGUGCAGAAGCAAAAGAUUUGCCUUUUGCUGCAACCUGUAUUUACAGGGCUUUCUUGGGGCAGAACAUUCAGUGUCAGCUCCUGUUGCUUCUGCUCAGGAAGCCAUCAUCCCUAGAGAUUUUCAAGAACCGUGUAGACGUGGCACUGAGGGACAUGGUUAGUGGGCAUAGUGGGGAUGGGUUGAAAACUGGACAGGCUGAUCUUAGAGGUCUUUUCCAACUUUAAUGAUUCUGUCGUUCUUGCUGUCCUUGACAGGGAGCAGCUACAUGGCUUUUCCUCAUAUCUGUCAUGGUCUAGCACAUUUCAGGCAGCCAGUGGAUUUGUGUAGAUGGUUCCCUCCCAGGUCAGACUGCACUAUUUCCUGGACCACGUUCUGAGCCAUACUUUAUUUUUCAAAUACAGUGGGUGUCACAAAGAUGCAGAGCUCUGUCCUGUUAUUUUUACUUCAUUUUCUUCUCUGCUCUGCUCAGCAAACGUAUUCUACUCAUGUGCAAAUAACCUUUCAGCUAGGAGAGGAAAAACACAACUUGUUCCCUCUGUUCCUCACACUUCUGGACGGGCUAAAAAAAUUGGAUAAUCAAAGAAUUAGAGGAACAUGAGUCUUCAAAAGAGCAUUGCUACCAGGAGCCAGGUUAUGAACGAAGGGAGGAAAAUGUUCCCACCAGGGUAGAAGAGAACAAAAUGCCUGUGCAAGGACUAGUAAGAGCCCUGUUUGCUUGGCCUGCCUAGGAGACCUUGUGCAAGGGAAAUGUGAUUUUGUUCCCAGUGCAGCAGCAGAUGAAGCUUUUAUACCUUAUGCCUGUCAAACACUUUGGAUCUACAUGAGGAAAGGAGCCAGAAGUCCACAGGUCUAUGAUAUCUUAUAUGUACUGGGUCCGUAUGGAAGAACACUGUGAAUCUGUUAUGUCCUCUGAAAGCACCUUUUUUUCUGCAUGAGUGGGAAUAGCUAAAGAUCAAAAGAGAAACUUUCAAAUCCUAUGUACUGUCAGUGAGAGUAAUGUGUACUAGCAUUCGAAUAACUUUUAUCAGUGGAUCUUUCACAACAACACAUUGCACUUUCUGGCAAUAUAUAAAAGUUGAAUUCAGACACAUAGCUGGACAAUAGUAAUUUCUUGGUCACAGUUUGCAGUUGCUCCUAGUUGUUAGAGAACUUGUGUCAGCUUCUGUUUUGCAGCUGUUCCAGAAGGGAAUAUUCGUUAUUCAUCUGUCUGUUCUUGAUAGGUCACAAUGUCUGUUAAGCAGAAUCCAACAGAUUCUUUUGUGAAUUAAAAUGAGUGUUGUCGAUGUUUGGGCUGACAGCAAGUUUUGGAAACCUGCUGACUGCAUUAAUGUUUAUUAUGGUUUAUAGUUUAAGCAUUAAGUCCAAGUUAGAUGCUAGUCAAAACACUACAAAUUUGGGAACCAGCCUCAAAAAUUGAAAGACACAGGAUUUCCAGUUUUCCAUGUCCUUCUUCCACAAGACAUGUAAUGAAACUGACAUUUUUGUGUGCUCUGCAGAGAUGCAAAGGCAAUAGGAAUAACAAAUCACAAAGUUCUCCGGAGAAAUCAAAAUGGCUGCUGUUUGGGUCCUUUGAAAAGCUUUCAUUGGCUCAUUUUGUCUAAACAAGUCAGCACAACUGUACUCAAUUAAACAACACUUCCAUUACAAAAUGAUUUGCCAUUUUGACACUACGCAUAUCCUUAAUUUCCACAUCAGACACCCUGUGGCCAUAAGAUGAGCUCAUGAGGCAACCUAUCAGAAGCUGCUCCACUUAGGAACUGUUUCAAUAAUUGAGAAUGUAAGUACUCACCCAGCACUGUGCUUCUGAAGCCAGUUAAAGGGAAUUGAGGGCAUUGUGCCACUAUCUCUUUCAAAACAAGGAACGAAGAAGUUUUCUUCUGCUGUAUGACAUUCUCAUCUGUAGGUCUGUAUUGCUUGUCAUCAGUCAAGACACCAAAGUUCAAAAGUAGUGGCUUUGGUUUGUGUUCUACUGUUCUCACAGCAAACUUACAGUUUAUCACUAGUACUUUUUUUCUCUAUAUUGUAUAAGCCCUAAUUAAUAUUUAAUUCCUUACUGAAGUCUUCCAUUAGGGAUCCACUUUAUUUCUGGGAGGCAUAGGGCCAUCACAACCAACGUGUAUCAUUUUUUUGACAGCUUUAUGGUUCAACUGGAACAAUUUGCAGAGCUGUCCAUCAGUAUCUUCCCCGCAGCUUCACAGCUCUUCUAUUUUAAUCAUGGACUGCAGAACAAAGCAGAGUAACAGGCCCUUAAGUCAGACUUAGAAACUGAAGGAAUAGAGUUCAGAAGACCCACUGCAAACAUUUUACCUAAUAAUUUAUUAAUUUGUUUUACUUUAUUUUGCAAGGCUUAAAACUAAUGUGUUAAAGGAAGAGCUACGCUUUAGAGACAUUUCAGCACUGCAGGACUUGAAGUAUUUCAACGUCAUGAGUUCAUCAGAUCUCUGCAAGUAGCAGCACUAGUCAUCACUUCUACUCUGAAAAGGAAUAGGGGAUGACGAAGACCUGUGUUGUCCUAGUGUGGGCUGGACAGUGCUCCAUGGAAAGUGGUUAGAAGCAUUCUUGCACCUCUGAGCGUCUGGGCAUCAUCUGGUGGUCAGGAGCAGGAGAGGACAGAAGACAUCACAAAUUUCAGCCACUGGGUACUCCUGCAGGCAGGCUGCUUUCAAAAUAGAGAAAUAUCUGUGCUCUCUCUCCUCCAGGGCUGUUACACAGAACAAUCUCUAGCCAUUUGUGAAACUGCUGUGCUCCUUAUUUGUAUUCUCCAGAGGUCUGUCUACUGCUUGCGUACAGUCCUCAGGUAUAUCAUGGCUGAGGUUUAUAACAGCCAUUUACAGAUCAGAUGAUAAAUUAAUGGUAACAAUUUGAAUCAUAGAAUCACAGAAUCAUCUGUGUUGAAAAGAACCACAACAAUCAUUGAGUUUCAACCCCCUGCCUUGUGCAGGGUUGCCAACCACUAGACUAGGCUGCCCAGAGCCACAUCCAGCCUGGCCUUGAAUGCCUCCAGGGCAUUUGCAGCAUCCUCUCCACUUCUUUGCCAUUCCAUAUGAUUGUUUGGGAUACUCAUACCUUUGCCAGUACUUCAGACAACUUCCCAAGGUAGCCUACCCUUCUUCAAAAGAUUAAUGACCAGCUCCAGGGCAUGAACUCCUUACCAGCUGUCCUGGACUCCAUAGAAAAUUUAGUAUUGGCAGGAGGAGCCUGCUAAAGCACAGAAUGCAUGCAUGUGGAAAGAAAAACUUGUGAUUUGCACUUAAGAGUUGUAUUCACCUUUAGCCUGAUUCUGAAUGAGAGAAACAAGUUCUUGAAACGACAUGUUCAUAAUGGUAUCCAGGCUAAAGCAAAAUGGACUUCUGCACUAUGCUGUUCUGUAGCUUGAAAUAUUGUUGCUACCCUUGCACUCAGGUUGUUUAGCCCAGUGAUGAAGGUGUAGACUACACUUGUUACUAGGUAAGUCAUGGGAAAACUUCUCUGGCAUGGUUUUCCCAUUUGUACAGUGGUGGAAUGGAUGUGCUGAAGUUAUCCAAGUACUUCUUUUCAAGGAACAGAACUGCAUCUCUCUCAAAACAAUAAAUAAACAAACAAACAAAUUAAAUUAAAAAAAAAACAAACAUGAAAUUCACGUGAUGUAUUAAAACAAAUGCAAGGUCAUCCAGCUUCAGGAAUUUGCAGAUGCUUCCAAAAUAGAUCUGGUGGAUUCUUUUGCUCAAUUUAGACUUAACAAAAAGUAGAGAAAGUAUGAAGUAUGACGGAGUAAUCUUAGAUUUUUCUGUGACAGUUUGUGAGUACAUGCUAUGAAUGUAGUAAAAUCAAGAUAUGUGUAUUGUGUUGGCUUUUUUUUUUUUUUUUUUUUUUUUUGUUAUUAUUAGUUUAGUUUAGUUGUCACAGAUUCACAGUAUAGUUUAGUUUGGCAGGGGCCUCUGGCUCUAUCUGCUCCAGCCCUGUUCCAGCAGGAGCACCCAGAGCAGGGUGCCCAGGCCUGUGUUCAGGUGGCUUUGGAAGAACUCCAAGGAUAAGUCUCUGCAGCCCCUGUGAGCAACCUGCAGCAGUGCUCCAGUACCUUCGCAGCACAGAAGUGCUUCCUGAUGUUCAAAGGGACCGUCUGGUGUUCCAAGUUGAGUCCAUUUCCUCCUGUCCUGGAGUUGGGCACCACUGAAAAGUGCCUGGCUCUGUCUCAGGGAGUUCUUCUCCCAGUCCGUAUUUGUACCUGAGAUUACUCCAACCCAAGUGCAAAACCUUGCACUUUGUUAUGUUGAACCUCGUUAGGCUCACACUGGCCCACCUUUUGAGUUUGUUGAGAUCCCCCCAAGCCUCCUCCAGGCUUGACAGUCCCACCUCUCUCAGUCUUUCCCCAUAGAAGAAGUACUCCAGUCCCUUCAUCUCUCUGAUGGCCCUUAGCUGGACUCUAUCCAGUGUAUACAUGUCUCUCUUGCACUGGGGAGCCCAGGCUUGGAUACAGAAAUCCAAGUGUGGCCUCACAAGCGAGGGCAUGGGAAGGAUCACCUCCUUCAAUCCACCAAUGAUAAUUUCCCUGAUGCUGCCCCAGAUGCCAUUAGCCUUCUUUGUGGUAAGGACACAUUGCUGGCUCUUACUCAGCCUGAUGUCCACAGGGAUCUCCAGUUUCUUUUCUGCAAAGUUGCUGUACCCUCCCCAAAUUAAUUAUUUUGUUUUUAAGGGAAAUUACUUUGAAAAAUUCUGCUUACCAUACAGGUGGCUUUGGCCUUCUCUGAAUUACAAGGCUUCUAGCUAGCUUAGGUUAGGGCGUCCUAUUGGCUUGCCCAGUUGCAUUUUAUUUCCAGCAGAUGCUAGCUGCCAUUGCUGCUGGCUCCUCAUAGGUCUACUCAGAGAAUUUUACUCUGUUCUCUCCUGUCAGGCUGCAGCUCAGUGACAAUGUAUGUUAGACAGGCACUGACACUUGUCUUGCUGCUGACUCUUGCCCUGGCACCAACUUGUUGUGAUGCCCAAUGGAACACUGCUGGCACUUGGCACCACUUCUUACUGUUCAUCAUGUUUUCAAUUCAUCUCUGCUUUUGCGGCACUGGAAAUUUCCUGCUGAAUUUUCACUUCUGAAGCCAAGGGAGUAUCCUGGCAAUUUAUAUUUACCUUCUUCACCACUUUUGUUUCAAAACAGCUGUAUCCACGUAUGGAUGAUGGUUAAGCUGCUUGCCCCACCCUGUGCAGUCCAGCUCCACGUUUUGCAGCCGUCAGUGUGAUACUUCAUCUACAUUCUUCCCUGUGCAGUUAAUGUGGGCUGAUUAAUUAUUCAUAUAGAUGAGCCAUGAGCUCAAGUAUGACAUAUGAGCAAUAUUAUAAUGCCUCAGUGUGUAACAGGAAGCUAACAUAUGACCUGCUUCACAUACUCACGUAUGCUAGAGGCCUGCAGAGGAAUUGUCAUGUUUUUGCUCACUUCUGUCACCUACUGUUUUAUCCUUGAAAAUAAUACAACUCUUCCCAUCAUUUCUGUAAUUCUGCCUUAAUCAUAACAAGUUUGAACAUUUUCUUUGUUACUGUCUAUGUGGCAAAUUUUGGGGGAAGUCUGGUGAUACACGCGUACAGCAAACAAAGUCUAACUGGACAUAGUCAAAGCAUUAUUCUCCUAUUUUCCAUUCCCAAAUGAAAAAAAAAAAAGAGGAAAAUGUGUGGAAGUUGUGUGACCUUACUGAAGCCAUCCAGAAGGUAGACUUCAGAGAACGAGCUUAGAGAAAUCCAUCUUCCUUCACUAAUGACAGAAAAAUCUUUGAACUAGUCACCUAGUUCAUAGUUAGCUAGAGUUGGAUGAAGUGAAUCCUCUACUAAGUAGUUUAUCUGCUUUUGCCUAAAACAAGUAGCUCUGCUUAUGAAACCUAAGAUAAUAUUGCAAAGGCUGUGACAUGCCAAACAUUCCUCACUGUCAAAUCUCAAGUGUAUGCACAGAACUCAAAGCCUGUCCCCUUAACAUAUCACCUUUCUUAAUUAAUAAUGGCACUACUUGUGUUACUAAAAUAGAUGAUUUGCAUUUCUUUCAUUUCCUCUCUCAAUCACGGUGCUCAUUAUAACAUUGCGGUUAUUCUCAUUUUUUCCUUCCAAAUGCUCCCUCAAAACACAACAGGGAUGAUUUUUGACCAUAAUGGCAUCAGGUUUUCUACUCACACUUUUUGGCCAGAGGCACAAGAGGUAUUGAUGGCUCUGUUUGUCCUAGAAAUGUCUGAACUCAUAGCAUUCACAAAACCAUGCAGUAAAAGAAGUGUACAGAUCUCUGUGGCUUUCAGACUGGCAUUUAACAAAAAUAAAGCAUUGCAACAUAAAGAAGAAAGUCAACUUCUCUGUUGGUCUUCAUGCUUCUCUUACAAAUACAAAGAUGUCCACAGGGGAGAUACACAAGUCCACCAACCUCAUAAAAACAAGAUCUCUUACUCACCCUGAAGUACCGAUCUGUGCUUUUUGUGGCAGAGUUGUUGUUUCCUUAAAGGGACUGCUUUUCACAUAACAGAAGGUGGAUUUUGUUUUUCUUGCAUUACCAGAAGAUUCUGUUAUUGAUUUGUCAUCCACUUAAAGGGGAAUGGCCAGCUCGUCUCCUUUGGCACCUUGGAAGUGCUCCCCCUCCAUAUACAAACUUAAGCCAUCACUAAGAGGUUAAAAAUUAAUAUAAGUCAGACCUCCCAAGGUAACAACAUGUUCAGGAGCACCGGCGCUUUGGUCAGUUAUAUUGCAGUGUCUUUGUUCUUUGCCCCUCUGCAGAUUUAUAAUCCACCAGUCUCACGGCUCUCUGUCUCAGUGCACUUUAAGAGCCAUUAAUUAAGUAAUUACUAAAAUGGAUUAAAAAUAAUUUCAGCUGAAGUCUGAGUUUUGAGCCUAGUGUUUCUGUUUGCAGGAAGAUGGUACUAUUUUCUAAGAGUAAAUAAAGUAUUCUCCCUGCUUGUUAUGUAAAUCAACCAAAAAUUGAAACAUUUUACAAAAUAGAUGUGUUGUGAUGAGAUUUCAGGGGAAGAUGUCACUGUGCUGAUUGCUCUCCUGAGGCUGCUGUAAGUCACUACAGUCACAGAACACUCCACCGCAUCACCAGCCCUGUCAGGGAGCCUAGGUUUGAGUGAAUAUUUAUUUUCAUCAUUCUGAGCUUUUGUUUCGUACACUGGUUCUGGUUCUGUAAUUAAUGUUGUGUGAAAUUAAUGGGUCUUGUGAAAAUGUUCAUGCUUUUCUGACAGGCCAGAGAAAUGGCUCAGAAAAAUAGCUCUGAGCCAUUCAGAACAGCACUGCUGAGAGAUACUGGCACAAUCUGAGUACAAGCUCUGUGGCAAUAGCUCACUGCAGAGUCAGUUUUAGAAGAGAGAUAACACUUUUCUUUUCCAAACUGGAGAGAAGUUACCAGACAUUUGCAGUGGUUUCCUCUGUAGGAGAGAAGCAUUCCUUGAGAAGAAUUCUGACAGCGUUCAGCUGGAGAGAAGUCCAAGCACCUUUAGAGCGCAUCCCUGUACACCAUUAGUCCCUGCUGCUCUGAAUUUGCACACUUGACAGAUUUGAGGCAAAUCUAAAGAAGAAUGUCUACCAAGUUCUUAUGCCCACAUAGAAUAAGUUCUGACUUCUUCACACCAUUCAUUUUAGUCCACUAUUUCUCAAGAUCAUGCGUUUGUUUUUUGACAGAGGGGCUCCUGGUGAUCAUUUUCCAGUGAAAUCUGAUGCAAAACAGUGCUUCAUUUUCAAGUGAAAUUAUAGUUUUGAAUAUGUAUUAUCAUGAAGAAAAUAUUACCUUGUGGAUUGCUAUUCGAUAUUUGUUGGCAUUCAUUCUGACAACGAAAUCUUCAGCUACUCCAGUCAUUACAGGACUGCAUCUUUACCACCCACUGGCUGUAAGAAACAUCAGAAACUUUUGGUGACCUGUUGAGAAUGUGGAUUGAAAGGCAAAUAUUAGGUUCUCCCAGAAGUGUGUGUGUAUAUAUAUAUAUAUAUAUAUAUAUUUAAUUAUUAUCGUUAUUAUUUUUAUUAUUCCAGAGUAAGAGUACGGUCUUUAAGAGCAGAAAGGGAAUAAACAUGGUUAAAAAAAAUACCAUUAAUAUUUACUGACCAGAAGGCGUCAAAAAUACUCACACAAAGCAGUAGAGAUCAUACUGAACAAGAAACUUUCUUGAAGACACACUGGGCAAUAAGAAUAUGGCACAGAGAUUGGAAUGCACAGGAUUACUUAACCUUCCCUGCUCCCUGUCUCAUUUUACCAAAGAUGAAAGAGUGAGGUUUAUCACGUCUUCAUAUUUUCCUUCAGCUUUUUUUUCUUUUCUUUUCUUUUGCAAUCAUUUUGACUGAUGUGCAAACGAUGAGUUAGACUUCCACUGCACCCAGUACAUCAUUACGGAUCUCCUCCAACAUCAGCAAGAUAGAUACUCAGGUAUCAGAUCUGGCAAAAGCUUUUCCCUCAUCUUCUGAGAGAAGAUCAGUUACUGAGGAAUAUCAGGACACCUGGCCUGUGUGCUGCAUUCCUGAGGUUUCUAUUUCAGGAGAAAUCAGCUUAAUGAGAUAUGAGUGGAUUCAGUGCUUAUUGCCACGUAGCCAAGCAUUUGUUCUUGCUGCUCUAUGUGAUAGGAAGAAAGUUUUCAGGAGAUACAUCUCUUUAUAUCUAUUCUGCUUGUCCAAAUAUUUGAUCUUCUUCCUACUGCAUGUUCUGGGAAAAAUCUGCGAGAGAGUGCAUAUUUGACUGACUUCUUGUAUGAUGAUUUUAUUUGCUACGUAUCCUGCCAAUGAAUAAAGCAAAAAAAAAAAAAGUUUAUUUUGUUCCAGGUGGCUUUGGAAGAACUCCAAGUUCCUAUGUUUUGUUUUGUUCCUAUUCAGACAAAUGUUUGUGUUGACACACAUUCCUUUCUGUUUUCUCACUGACUCUUAAUGGGCCAAUUUACAAUGAAUUUUUAAAUAUUCAGGUUUAUGGAAAUUUGGUGUGAAUCAAAAGCUGUAUGAAGGUAAGAAUCCAGAUGAGAUUUCCACUUUUCUCAAGUAGGAGCAGCAGACAGGUCAUCCUUAUUGAGAGAUCUCUCUCUCUCUCCUCCCCCGUUCGCAUUAACCCUCAAUUUGGCAUACUCCUGUCUCCUGCCUAGCUCCGGCACACACUGCUUUGUACUUCUUAGAAAUCUCAAGGAUUUCAGGAGGAAUGGUCAACGUUGUUCGGGUUGGGAGGCUUAGAGACAAGACAUAUCCGUAAGAAAGAUCUCUUUGGUCUUCAUCUUCACCAGUCAGCACGUUUCCCUUGUAAUACCCUGUGAUCAUUUUUUGAUUAUCUCAUGCAUACCAGUUCAAAGGCUUUUUUUCCCCCCCCUCCUCCAGCUUCCAGCCAUGAAGUUCUCCACAGAUUUUAGGAUUUCUUUUGGAACACACACACACACACACACACACAGAUCUGCAAAAAAACAUUUGUUAAGUAAGUCUGAAAACUCAGUCCACAAGAAUAUGGGCACAGAGGAGUUAUUCAACCAGCAUAUGAGUUUAUCCUUGACUUAUGAGGGCAUUGCUAUGCUUGUUCUGAGUGGCUCAACACAUGAUGCACGAGCAACCUGCUCCAUGUAAUCCUAUAUUAUUUGAUGAAUUCAUAAGGUCUAAAACUCUGCUUCUGCACUGUUAUUUUGAACAGCUUAAUAUUCAGUUCAUUCUUUCAAGAAAAGAAAUAUGGAUAAGGAGAAAAACCAGCUUGAUACUUACAUAUGAAGCCACGUUAUCUCACAUUAUCUGUUUUAUAGGGACACCUACAAAACACAUUUCCAUGCAACAUUCUCUGUGGCAUGGAACUCUUUAAUUUCCCUUCAUCCUUUCUAAGCUGCAGAAAUUUAGACCUUCAGGUAUUCUUUACUUCACUCAUAUUCCAUCCUCUCUUCUGCUCAGUCUGGCCAUUUAUCUUUCAUUCCAAAACACCUAUCCUUUCUAGUCAUCAUAUUCAUUGCUAGUAUAUUUCCCCAGGAGUAUUGCUGCUUUACCCAUUAUCCUCCGUACUGGAGCAGGACAUUAGGAAGAUCCACUACUGUAGCAAUUGGGCAGAUCAAUAUGAUGGGAGGAUCAGCAAGAUAGAAAGGUGCUAUAAACGAAGAGAAGAAGAUUGCUUACUUGUAUCAGAAGAUUCCAGGUUUGCAUGGGAAAGCAAAUCCCAAGAAGGGAUCACCAGAAAGAGAUCCUUCCCCAGUGGUAGUCAGCCCUUAAGUGGGGUCUAAGAGAGGUGCAGCCAGGCUCCACCCCAUCUGGUCUCACAGGUGAAUUGCCUUCACCUGUGCUCCCAGGGCUGACCCGGUCCUGUCCCCAGGUGCUCAAUCAGUGGUUCAGGCCGUGACUCAACAGAUCCCAUACACCUACAUUCACUGAUUCCAACAGGGCAUCAUUUCAGGAGAGGAUGUCAGAGCAUCCUCUUUCAAUGAUUCCUUUUACACUUCUGCUUGUUUUUUACAUCUACUUAUGUCUUAGAAUUUAAAUGUUGGCUAUAUUACCACCCCUGGAGACAUAGCAAAUGUCAAUGUAGGAUUAAGUUGCUUUACAUUAUUGAUGUUAUCAUAACAAAGUGCAUAAAUAAAUGAUUAUCUACUGGUUUAUCUGUUAUAUCCUUUCAGAGCUGCUUCAAAAUAUGUCUUGAUUUCCAUUUUGGUAUUAAAGAGCUGCAGCAAACGUUAAAGUAUGUUUGCACAAAAGAAAGGUAUUUAUAUCAGAGAAGUGUGGGAUUACAAAUUUUGCAUGUUGAAACACAUUCCCAGGACUUUCUGCCUUAAUGAGUGUAGUAGAAAAGCCAAAUAGAGAUUAGUGAUUUGGGUUUUAGUUUCCUUAGAAGUGAUCGGGUUUUGUCAGCCUAAAAUAAGUCUCUAUCUAAUUACAAGAAGAGUUGUUCCAACCUGAAGGUCACUGAAGCUGAAAAGAGUGAUGCUAUUUGACUCACAUAUACAGAGUAAGGUGCAUCAAGGAUGUUGCCAUCAGUGAUGUUUUGACUUCAAAAAGGUGUUCUAACUUUAAAAAGAUGGAUCUCUGUCUCACACUCUGGGUACUGCAUCACCUCACUGGGCACCCUCCUUAAUGUACUCCGCUAUUCAGCAUGUAAUGACCGCCUCACUAUCAGAUUAUCAUGGUUUUAUUCCUUUAAAACAGAAGCACGAGGAAGAAGGGACUGUACCAUAGAGCAUACAACUGAACUGAAGAAAUUCUGUUUUUGCUAAAGCUUUGGUGGAUGCAGGAUUCACGGCCUCUUCCCACCCAUCACGUAAAAUGCCACUCCCAAAAAUGCCUUCAUGUAAAUCAUCUUAGAGCAUGGGGCACUGCAUCUGCAUGCAGUGGCGCCCUGAGUUCCAUCCACAUUCAUGCUCCACAUCUCCUGCUCUCUAAAAGCCUCCAGCCAGUGACUAAUGGGAUCAGGGAGCAAACACUGAUGGCAUUUAAGGUCCUAGAAUAGGACAGAGGCACAGCCCAGGGUUUGCACGUGGCUUUGCUGCAGGUAGUGCAGGAAAACCAUCCCUGUGAAUGCACUGCUCUAUGUGAGACCUGUCAAGCUAUGCUGUACUCACAUUUGAACAAAGGGUGAUGGCCUGGAAUUGCUUCUGUGGUGGUUAGACAUCUGCCACAGAUGCAGCAAAACUGUAUUCCUAACAUUCUUCUGAAAACUGCUUUACAGUGCAAGAUCACCAGUAACUUGUGCUGAGUGCUGAGUGCAGGAGUCCAACAAAACACGGGAUCCUAACUACACUCAGCAUGGUACUAACACAGACUAAUAGCAACCGCCUGCCUUGAUGAGGCCAUAAUCCUCACAGAUGCAGCAGGUCUGUGCAGCAUAGUAAUACAAUACUUAGGCCUUCAGCACCCUCAAAAGAGCUGAUUCCACAGAAGAAGAAUUAAGAAAGUAAUAAAGUGCUGAAAAGCUGGAUUUCCAGGUGAAUCACUUGGAGAAGAUAUGCCCAGUUUUAUAAGGAUAGAGGUGACAGUCAUGUGCACGUGCAGCGUAAUGUAUUAAGAGCUGUCUGAGUUCUUGUCUCAGUUUGAACAUGAGAGAGGCUAUUUGCGCAUCUGCAGAAGCAAACAUAUGCUUGUGCUCGGGGCUAUAUGUUUCAGUGGUGGGGCACUAUGGAAGGUAAAGUGGGGUUCAGAGAACAAAAUAUUAGCGAGAGGGAGUACAGAGAGAAAGAGAACGGUAUCUACAGAGGAAAAGAAGGGAGAGCUAGAAAGACAGAUAUUGUAGCAAGCCUCAUGCUUGUAGAGGUGGAAAAAAGGAAGAGCAAGUAACAGUAACAAAAAGGGGCAAGAGAUGGAAGUAGGGAAGCAGAGUAGGCAAAAGCUGGACAUGAGACAGCAGUGUGCACUUGCCACCCAGAAUGCUAGUGGUAUCCUGGGCUGCAUCAGCAGAGGGGUGGCAGCAGGGAGACAGAGGGCACUGUACCCCUCUGCUCUGCCCUUGUGAGGCCUCAUCUGCACUACUGCAUACAGGCCUGGGGCCCCCAGCACAAGAAGCUGUUGGAGAUGGUCGAGAGGAGGCCACAAAGAUGCUCAGAGGACUGGAGCACCUCCCCUGUGAAGACAGGUUGAGGGAGCUGGGCUUGUUCAGCAUGGAAGAGGCUCCAGGGAGAACUCUCUGUGGCCUUCCAGUACCCAUGGGGAGCUUAUAACAGGAGGGACACUGACUUCUUACCUAGGCAAGAAGUGAUAGGGCAAGGGGGAAUGGCUUUAAACUAAAUAUAUAUAUUUAGAAUAUGUAUAUAUGAGAUUAAGGUUAGAUGCCAGGAGGAAAUUCUUUACUCAGAGGUUGGUGAGGCCUGGCACAGGCUGCCCAGACAAGCCAUGGAUGCCCAUUUAACCCAGAUACGUGUUUGUAGAUAUGUUUACUUCUCACAACCAAUUCCUGUUGCUUGGAAGAACAGAAAGUUUUGGAAAUGCCCAAAGAAUUGAAUGUGGGGUCAAUUUGUUUUCACAUUGACUUUAACUAUGUUAUUGUUCUUCUUCUAUAGGCACCGUACUUGAACUGGAGCAUGUAUGCCACAAAGCAUUCCAGCCAGUAGCAGGUGUCCUCUGCAUAAUUCUGUGAACUACAGUGCACCACAGGCAGCAUAAAUUCAAGAAGGAAAUGUGAGCUUCCCUGGAUAAUAUGAAGGAAUGGCAAGGUUAUAGACCCAGACGGUUAGCAUUGCUCUAACAAACACUGCAACUUGGAAAAAUCAGACACAAAGCAAAACAACUUCCUGCCAUUUCCACUUUUUAUUUUCUUGGAGAGUGUUGGAAAAAUGAAAAUGUGCAGGACAAAAUCUUUAUGCUGAAACCCUUACUUUCACAUUUAACUACUUCACAGAAGAAUUCAUAUCUAACUUCAGCUUGGGGAUGCUUCAUAGCCAUGCCUCAUUGCCCCUCACAUUUAGUUUGCUGCUGCUUUUGAGAGGUGAGGCUCGUUCCUGGCACCAAAAUGCUCUUAUGGUGUGAUUUCCCUACCUUGUCAGUUUUCUCCUGAGGGAAAGCUCAGCUCAAACUUACCUCCGGCAACAGCAGCACCGAACUGGAUCCAGUAAGCUCUGGAGCAGGUUUUCUGCUAGUAACCUCCAAGACUGCCUUUUCAUCCCUCAAAAUUUGCCACGGGCAACUUUGCUCACUUCCAAUAUCAGUUCUAUCAGACAACUCAUUCUUAAGUCUCUUUCUUCCACAUAGACCUAUUCCCUUCUACUCGUAUUUUAACAACUUGGAUAGAAGGCAUUUUGAUUUCACCUCCCGAGCUGCAGCACUGCCUCUGUGUUGUGCAGCAAGAGGGGCAUCUUUUCUCCUUUCAUGGCUUUUCUUUUCUUCCCACACUUAUACAACAAUGUAAUGAUGGGAAAUCAGCAGCAGCUCUGUUUUGGUCAAAGCACUCAUCCCUUUGCUCAGAUGUGUUCAUGCUGUGCUGAGCGCACAUAAAGGAGAUUCUCUGUCUGAGCACACGCACGCAGACACACAAAAAUCAUAGGAAAAUGGAUGGUGUGAGCUGGCUUGUCUGUCAGGACAGAAUUCAGCACACUUGGUUGUUCCUGUCAGAUGCCCACAGUAAAUCUAUUUGCCUUUAUAUUUACUUGCCUGGCAUGCUGUCAAGCAAUUCCAGCACAUGAUGCACUUCCUAUUUCAAGGCUCAGAUGUCUGUUCUGGUAGAUGCGUGUAUCCAUUCCUCCUGCUGCAGAAACAGUCCUUGGCGAGAAGAGUGAAGUUGUUUCAUCCCUGAAUAUUUUGACAGGCUCAAUCUGGUGAGGACCAAGCAAUAGUUAAAACAGAUGCUUUUGAGUAAGCGUGUUUUAACUCAGCACGUGGAGAGCCAGGAGGAUUCCUCCCCCACCCCACAGCCACGGCCACCCUGCCUCUCUCCUUCCCUCCUUCUCCUGCACUCUCACACAUUCCCCUAGAGGCAAGGGUGCGGGUGCCUGGAAAUGUGAAAGUCACCUGAUAGGAUGCUCCCGCUCCCAUCUCUCCGCACAGCAUAAGCUCUUCUCUCCUGGUGACCGUGGAAGCAACUCUGCCAGGCUUUGCUAUGCUUAGCAGACUGCAGAGUUUGCUGCAAAUGCAAAACUGAAGUCCAUCUUUGCACCUCUUACUUACCAAGGGGCUUCAGUGUCUUCUUCCUUGCAGUUCCUGGCUUUCCCCUAACCUCUCUUCUCGAAAGGAAGGUCUGUUCUGUUUCUGGCGAUGCAUCCCAAGAGGCGGCUCUGUUGGUGUCUCCCUGCUUCUGGUGCAUGGGCAUUCAUGCUCACAUCCUUAAUUGCAGACACCACAGCCUGCGAGUCAGAGGAACGGCUGUUUCACAAACUCUUCUCCCGCUACAACCAGUUCAUCAGGCCGGUGGAAAACGUAUCUGAUCCUGUCACGGUGCAUUUCGAACUGGCCAUUACCCAGCUUACAAAUGUGGAUGAAGUCAAUCAGAUUAUGGAAACCAAUUUGUGGCUAAGACACAUCUGGAAUGACUACAAAUUGCGAUGGGAUCCCAGAGAAUAUGAUGGAAUUGAAUUUGUUCGGGUACCAGCAGAUAAAAUUUGGAAACCAGAUAUUGUCUUAUACAAUAAUGCUGUGGGAGAUUUUCAAGUUGAAGGCAAGACCAAAGCCCUUCUUCGCUACGAUGGGAUGAUCACCUGGACCCCACCAGCUAUAUUUAAAAGCUCCUGUCCCAUGGAUAUUACUUUUUUCCCAUUUGAUCAUCAGAACUGUUCAUUGAAAUUUGGUUCUUGGACUUACGACAAAGCCAAAAUUGAUCUUCUGAUCAUUGGCUCCAAAGUAGAUAUGAAUGAGUUUUGGGAAAAUAGCGAGUGGGAAAUAGUUGAUGCUUCUGGCUACAAACAUGACAUCAAAUAUAACUGCUGUGAAGAGAUCUACACAGAUAUAACAUAUUCAUUUUAUAUUCGAAGGCUGCCAAUGUUCUACACCAUAAAUCUGAUUAUUCCCUGUCUCUUCAUCUCAUUCCUGACUGUGCUAGUUUUUUACCUGCCAUCUGACUGUGGUGAGAAGGUGACUCUUUGCAUCUCUGUGUUGCUUUCUUUGACUGUAUUUUUACUAGUGAUCACAGAAACAAUUCCAUCUACCUCUUUAGUAAUACCCCUCGUAGGUGAAUAUUUGCUCUUCACUAUGAUAUUUGUGACUCUCUCCAUUGUCAUCACCGUGUUUGUCUUAAAUAUACAUUACAGAACUCCUACUACACACACAAUGCCCAAAUGGGUGAAAACUGUCUUUCUUAGCCUGCUCCCCAAAGUUCUGUUGAUGCAGCGGCCUCUGGAGCAGGAGAAAAAAAACAUCUCCAAAAAGACCAAGAAAGGAUCGGCCAAAACAUCAGGCAAAUCAAAGCACAGCAAACACAAAGAUAACAAAUUACAUAAGGAGCAACGGUGUUGUCACUGUGAUAAAGCAGACGAUCUCACCUCAACCAGAAGAAGUCGACUGAGUCAUCAGUCACUGAAAUGGAUGGCAGAGCACACAGAGUACUCCCCAGAAGUGAAAGAUGUCAUCAACAAUGUUCAGUUCAUCGCAGAGAACAUGAAGUCUCAGAAUGAAACCAAAGAGGGAAAUAACGUGUUUUGUUCCCCAACAAGCACCGAGGAAAUGAUUCUGGAGGCUUCUGCUUUGUUCAGAUGUACAGAGCUAUGCUGCUAUGGACAUGUCCCAUAUGAAUAGAAGCCCUUUAGAAAUGGCAGGUUCAUUGGGGUUGAAAGGAAUCUCCAGUCCAACCCCCUGCUAAAGCAGCUUCCCUGCAUUAGGUCACACAGGUGGAAGAUGAUUGGAAAUACGUGGCUAUGGUGAUUGACAGAGUAUUUCUCUGGGUGUUUAUAAUCCUUUGUGUGUUUGGGACUGCUGGAUUAUUUAUCCAACCACUAAUAGCAGAUACAUAACUUGAGUCAUAGCUUUUUUUUCCACUUACGUUUGUAUUCCAUUUUCAGUUUGGAACUGUCCCUUGUAUUUCUCUCCUCUUAUAUCAUCCCUCAGCAUCUAGCCCCACUGGGAAGGAGAGAGGGGAAGACUCCUCUGGGCAAGCAACAAUCUAAGGCAGAAUGAGAAGGGAACUGAAAAUGUGAGAUUGAGCUUGUGGUCUCUCUAAGACAGAGUGGCUGAGAUUUACAGAGUGCCUGUCUGUCUGCUCAAUUCAGUAGCAAUUGCACCAAGAAUCACUGUAGUGGGCAGAAAAUACUGAGCUUCUCCCAUGGUUUCAGUUCAGGGGGCCACUGUGAGUGAUUUGUGCUAAGAGAACAAAAGUCUCACUUUUCUUUCCUCAUCACAACUCUUACAUUUCCUCUUUCUCCCCUUGUACAAUGCCUAGAUUUCAGCAUGGCGCUUAGCUGAGGUACCGCAGUCCUACUGACUGAAUCAACACUCUUUACUGUGCUUUUGGAACAGGGCAGACAAAAAUCCAAAUAAAAGUACAAUCAAACCAA